CCUACGGGAGGCAGCAGUGAGGAAUAUUGGUCAAUGGAGGCAACUCUGAACCAGCCAUGCCGCGUGAAGGAUGACGGCCCUAUGGGUUGUAAACUUCUUUUGAAUAGGAAGAAACUUAUCUACGUGUAGAUAACUGACGGUACUAUUAGAAUAAGGAUCGGCUAACUCCGUGCCAGCAGCCGCGGUAAUACGGAGGAUCCAAGCGUUAUCCGGAUCCAUUGGGUUUAAAGGGUCCGUAGGCGGAUUUUUAGGUCAGUGGUGAAAGCCGGCAGCUCAACUGUCGAACUGCCAUUGAUACUGGAAAUCUUGAGUACAAAUGAAGUAGGCGGAAUGAGUCAUGUAGCGGUGAAAUGCAUAGAUAUGACUCAGAACACCGAUUGCGAAGGCAGCUUACUAACAUGUAACUGACGCUGAGGGACGAAAGCGUGGGGAGCGAACAGGAUUAGAUACCCUGGUAGUCCACGCCGUAAACGAUCAUCACUCGCUGUUGGCGAUAUACUGUCAGCGGCCAAGCGAAAGUAUUAAGUGAUGCACCUGGGGAGUACGCCGGCAACGGUGAAACUCAAAUGAAUUGACGG
rnacentral:rRNA from 1 species